rnacentral:rRNA from 1 species
CUACGGCGUGCUGCAGUGGGGGAUAUUGCGCAAUGGGGGAAACCCUGACGCAGCAAUGCCGCGUGAAGGAAGAAGGUCUUCGGAUUGUAAACUUUUGUCUUCAGGGACGAAACAAAUGACGGUACCUGAGGAGGAAGCCACGGCUAACUACGUGCCAGCAGCCGCGGUAAUACGUAGGUGGCAAGCGUUGUCCGGAUUUACUGGGUGUAGAGGGCGUGUAGGCGGGAUUGUAGGUCAGAUGUGAAAUACCCGGGCUUAACCCGGGGGCUGCAUUUGAAACCACAGUUCUUGAGUGCUGGAGAGGGAAGCGGAAUUCCUAGUGUAGCGGUGAAAUGCGUAGAUAUUAGGAGGAACACCAGUGGCGAAGGCGGCUUUCUGGACAGUAACUGACGCUGAGGCGCGAAAGCGUGGGGAGCAAACAGGAUUAGAUACCCCCGUAGUC